GCAGGCAGCAAAUGGGGUACAGCAUACGUGUUUUCAGUCAGUCGCUGUGCCUUACAGAACCCUACUGUGUUCACAUAUUUGCAGUAAGUUGUUCAGGAACGUAACGCAUCUUGGCAUUGUUAUCUACAGAGGCAGACACACGCAUGUCAAUAGCAAACCUCCUUCUGAAAAUCGCUCAAUACCAAAACGAGCCUUUUCCUUGAAGACUGCUCAACACGCCAAAAAUAUCUCUGCUGCGCUGCCAUGCGGGGACUGACGGUCGUGACAUUCCUGUUCCUCGUCUUGUGCUGUGAUUCUUUUGGGAAAGUCGUCUCGUUUUAUGGCUUCAAAGAAUCCACCAAAAGCGGAGGAGGACAGCUGCCUGGCGAUGUGACUGACAUUUUGAGAGAGAUUACAUCCCUGCUGGAGGGAACAGACGGCAUAGUAGCCUUCUAUGACUUCCCUGGCUCUGGGGGUUCCGUUGACAGAGCCUUCAUGUCGCCUCUUCAUUUCUAUCCCAUGCUGAGAGCCCGGAUGCGCAGCCUGCCUGCCAGUGACGCCGACGAAAAGAAAGGCUCCACCUACAACUGGAAUUCGUUUGGGUUGCGUUUUGGGAAAAGAGAAUUGAAUUUUAUGAAUAUAAGCAAAAUAUUGAUUAUUUUUACGAAGCGACAGUAAUCUAUUACUGGCAACAUGAGUAGCGGAGAGGUCAUACGAAAUGUGUAUUCUGGGAAAUUGUCCGCUUAUCUAUGUGCUUCUGUAUCAAAGCUCGCAUGGCAAAAUUGUGACAGCUGUGACGUCGUAGUAAACAGUGGCUUUAUUGCCAGGUAACAUUCACCAUCAAUACCACUACAGAUGGAAACAUUGUGACGUCAUGUAGGAAAAUAAAAUUAACACUUGUUUGCAGUACUGUACGUUGUGAUGUUUGCAAUAAAAUUACUGUGAUCAAA